UACGUAGGUGGCAAGCGUUGUCCGGAUUUACUGGGCGUAAAGGGCGUGCAGGCGGUCUGUUAAGUCUAGGGUGAAAGCUCCCAGCUCAACUGGGAGAGGUCCUUGGAUACUGGCGGACUUGAGGGAUGCAGAGGAAAGUGGAAUUCCCGGUGUAGUGGUGAUAUGCGUAGAUAUCGGGAGGAACACCAGUGGCGAAGGCGGCUUUCUGGGCGAUUUCCUGACGCUGAGACGCGAAAGCGUGGGGAGCGAACCGG
rnacentral:rRNA from 1 species